AGCCAGCGAUCACGAAGGGCAACAACUGACACACUGAUGACCAUUCUGUACCCAUAUAGACUUUCCAUGUGUCACUUUCAGCACAGUAUUCAAUAAAUUACAUGAGGUAGUCAACACUUUAUUGUAAAAUACGCUUUGUGUUAGAUGAUGCUGCCCAACUUUAGGCUCAAGUGUCUCAAUGUGUUUGACUCACAUGUGGAGCCAAGUUGGGCCAAAGAGCUGAAGUAGGCAGCAUGCUUAGGUCAUUGGCUGCUGCAUCGCACAAAUGCACCAUGCCACCAUCAAGAUAGGCAGCCAACUUCAUGGAGCUCUUCUGAAAUACAAUAAAGCUCCUUAUGGCCUACCUUCAGGACAAGCACCCCAGAGCCCAGCAUUCAGAGCCAGUGUGUCGAGUUUCCUUUCUGCAGGGCCCUGGCCCCCAUCUCAACUUCUUGCUGCUGGAUGAAGAACCAUGUUCACCUCUCAAUGAAGCGCGGGCCUGAUGAAGAUGGACAAAUGCCCAGAGACUCCAAAAAUCUCCCUAGAAUAUUUGCAGUGGUUUCUACCUGUGUGGCCAGUGCUAUCCAGGUCACUGAGAAGGGGCAGAGGUCGGAGGCCAUGCUUUUCCAUGUUCCUCCUGUUCUAUUUCUGGCUCCUCAUGCUUCUGAAAUCUGCCUGUUGUGCAGUUAAGGACACAGUUAAGUCUUCAUGCACCCAGUGGAGAUCUGUGCUGAUUCAUGUGUGUGGAGUGCGUUGGGUAGGGGGGUGAGGUGGGGGUAGAGAGAGGAUCCCAAUGCAGCAGAAACAGCCCUCAAACAUGUACAGUGUCUUGAGCCUCUGUGACAUCAGCAUUAUUGUGCCACUCUUCCCCCAACCCGGUGUGGAUAAA